ACUCAGAUGACCUCGCUUGCUCGUCCCUAUCACCGCUCGACGCUUGAAAUGACAUAGAUAAGCGGUCGACAAUUAACGCAUCCUCAUCGUCUUCAGAGUGCCUUGUAGACUGCGUCAACCGUUCCUUACGUGGUUCUGUGAACAGACUAGUUUAUUUGAGUUGUGAGUUUUGAUUGGUCUAGGAUAGAGACCUGAAUGUUGGUUCCUCUGGUCGGCGUGUUAUUGUGUCGUUAUGAUGUGCCAUGAUGUGUGUGUGUAGAGAAUUUGUCAGCAUGGAAAUUUCUGCUCAGUCACUAUACAUCUGUUUGAUUUCAGAAUGUUGGUCAUUCUCUUUUUUAUUUUGAUUGUGAACCAGAGAGACUGUGAAAGAGAGAGAGAGAGAGAGAGAGAGAGAGAGAGAGAGAGAGAGAGAGAGAGAGGAGAGAGAGAGAGAGAGAGUAAUACUGUAGGAACUCUGUGUAACGGAGUAAAUAACCGAUCAACUUCCUAUCGAGACAGUUCUCCUAAAAUAACGAACUGUAUACCAUAUGCUGAAUAAAAUUAGGAACUAUAAUGCAGUUGCUUAAAAAAGAAUUAAACGUUAAAAUUAUAUAGAACUUAUAGUUAUAUAAUCAAAAUUCCCUUUCUCUUUUGCCCAUUUUUUUGUAACUUGUAUGGCAGUCUUUAUUUUUCAUUGUUUUUAAUAUCCUUGUUGCAUCAUUAUGAUUUUUACAUUAUUAGUUGAAGCUGAUAUUUAACUGAUUAACUCAAGAAUUGAAUGAUACGGAUUACAUUUUCUGUCCUGUUUUAAUACAAAGGUAAUGAAAUACUGGAUGAAACGUAUAAAGUGACAGGCGCAAUAUAACUCAGUCCACAACCAUCUACAUGUAUAUAAGACCAUAUAUAUUCAUUUUUAUGUUUUUUUAAUUGCUUAGAAUUUUUUUUUGUUAAACAAACUAUAGUUUACCAUAGUACCAUUACAUUUAAAUCUGUGUAUAUGAUUUGAUAUAUACAUUGUUGAUCUCACUAAGUCAGUCAUUUGUAAAAGUUUUAAAACACAAAAUCAAACAGCUUAGCUGUAGGUCGUGUAUGUGUGAGCAUCCUGUCAUGAACUCCCAUCCUUCUUUCAGUGAACCAAACCCAUUUCCUUAACAAGAGUUGUGCCAUGGUAGUAUUAGUACAGUGUGUGACAGAAUCUAAUUCCAUUUUUGUCAGUAAAUUUAGUUCAGUGUAUGACAUACAGAGUAUGACAAAGUCUAGGAUCAACUUGUUAACUUUGUACACAAUGUGUGAUCAUAGUUGGGUUUACUUAUUUUUUUUCAGUUUUUUUUUCUUACCUCCCAAGUAUUAUUAUAUAAAUGUGUACAUUAAAAUCAAUGCUUAUCAAUUUUCACAUGAAAAAAUAUAUUAAGGUACAUAUAAAAAGAGUCAUUUAACUUUAUUUCAUGCCAGUUUUUUGAGAUAAAUUUACAUCAGAUUUCUUCAUUGUUUGUUAUGAAUGGUUUUAAAACAUGGUAGAUGCAGUAAAAGACAAUGAUGCUUUAUUGUUUACAAUCUAGGAGAUAAUGUAUUCCACACGACUUUAAGAAUGUGAUAUGGAGUGUAUAUAUAUAACAUGAAGUAUGUGACAAAUAUCAUUCAAUUUUAAUUAACUAAUAAAUGAUAAAGCUAGAUGUAGACAUUUUCUGUUAGUACAUGGAACAAAUCUAUGUCAAUUAACACUGAAAAUCAUAUUGAUUCCGACGGGGAUUUGAACCGACAGCGACAAUUACCGAGUGUGAAUUACUCGUAAAUGUCGCAAUCUAGGGAUUACCCAGCUUUGUGCGAGUGUGUACAUGAGAGAGUGCGUUAAUUAAAUGGCAAGAUGAAUCAUGUUGAUGAAGAUAUGUUGUGUUAAUUAGGUGACAGACAGAUAGUGUUUAAAAAGAACAGGUGGAAUUUGUUAUUAUACAAGGCCAAGUGUUAUAUACCCAUUUGUAUUAAUAUAUGUACAUGUCAUAUUUUAAGAUUAAAACUACAUCUAUGGU
rnacentral:misc_RNA from 1 species